UGGCGGCGCGCCUAACACCUGCAGUCGAACGGGAUCUUUUAAGAGCUUGCUCUUGGCUGAUCUAGUGGCGGACGGGUGAGUAACACGUGAGCAACCUGCCCAGGAGUGGGGGAUAACGUUUGGAAACGAACGCUAAUACCGCAUGACGUUGAGAGAUGGCAUCAUCUUUCAACCAAAGGAGUAAUCCGCUUUUGGAUGGGCUCGCGCCCGAUUAGAUAGUUGGUGAGGUAAUGGCUCACCAAGUCUGCGAUCGGUAGCCGGACUGAGAGGUUGAACGGCCACAUUGGGACUGAGACACGGCCCAGACUCCUACGGGAGGCAGCAGUGGGGAAUAUUGCACAAUGGGGGAAACCCUGAUGCAGCGACGCCGCGUGAGUGAAGACGGCCUUCGGGUUGUAAAGCUCUGUUGGAGGGGACGAUAAUGACGGUACCCUCCUAGAAAGCCACGGCUAACUACGUGCCAGCAGCCGCGGUAAUACGUAGGUGGCGAGCGUUGUCCGGAAUUACUGGGUGUAAAGGGAGCGCAGGCGGGGAUUUAAGUUUGGAUGUGAAAUACCACGGCUCAACCGUGGAGCUGCAUCCAAAACUGGGUCUCUUGA
rnacentral:rRNA from 1 species